GGAAGUGUACCCAAGUGGCUAUAAGGGGGCUGACUUGAAAUCAGUUAGGUCGUGUAACAGCGAUGCGUGGGUUCGAAUCCUACCACUUCCG
rnacentral:tRNA from 1 species